CUAACCAUCUGAGCUACCAGGCAGGGCUGUUCUUAUCAGUUUAAUAUCUGAUAUGUCCUCUAUCUAAGGACAGCAUAUUAAAUGGACUUCUGAAGCAGGGGAUGGAAUAGGAGCUUGCUGUGUCUAUUCCAAACAUCCACCUGGUAUUGCAGUACUUCGGGAAUGGUGCACCACAA
rnacentral:snRNA from 1 species